rnacentral:rRNA from 1 species
CACGUAGGCACCAAGCGUUGUCCGGAUUUAUUGGGCGUAAAGAGCUCGUAGGCGGUUCGGUAAGUCGGGUGUGAAAACUUUGGGCUCAACCCAAAGCCUGCACUCGAUACUGCUGUGACUUGAGUCCGGUAGGGGAGUGGGGAAUUCCUGGUGUAGCGGUGGAAUGCGCAGAUAUCAGGAGGAACACCGGUGGCGAAGGCGCCACUCUGGGCCGGUACUGACGCUGAGACGCGAAAGCGUGGGGAGCGAACAGG